rnacentral:rRNA from 1 species
GAUGAACGCUGGCGGCGUGCCUAAUACAUGCAAGUCGAGCGAACGGACGAGAAGCUUGCUUCUCUGAUGUUAGCGGCGGACGGGUGAGUAACACGUGGAUAACCUACCUAUAAGUCUGGGAUAACUUCGGGAAACCGUAGCUAAUACCGGAUAAUAUUUUGAACCGCAUGGUUCAAAAGUGAAAGACGGUCUUGCUGUCACUUAUAGAUGGAUCCGGGCUGCAUUAGCUAGUUGGUAAGGUAACGGCUUACCAAGGCAACGAUGCAUAGCCGACCUGAGAGGGUGAUCGGCCACACGAGAGCUGAGACACGGUCCAGACUCCUACGAGAGGCAGCAGUAGGGAAUCUUCCGCAAUGGGCGAAAACCUGACGGAGCGACGCCGCGUGAGUGAUGAAGGUCUUCGGAUCGUAAAACUCUGUUAUUAGGGAAGAACAUAUGUGUAAGUAACUGUACACAUCUUGACGGUACCUAAUCAGAAAGCCACGGCUAACUACGUG